UCCAGACUCCUACGGGAGGCAGCAGUGAGGAAUAUUGGUCAAUGGGCGGGAGCCUGAACCAGCCAAGCCGCGUGAAGGAAGAAGGCGCCAAGCGUCGUAAACUUCUUUUGUCGGGGAACAAAGGGCGCCACGUGUGGCGUUGUGAGUGUACCCGAAGAAAAAGCAUCGGCUAACUCCGUGCCAGCAGCCGCGGUAAUACGGAGGAUGCGAGCGUUAUCCGGAUUUAUUGGGUUUAAAGGGAGCGUAGGUGGAUUGUUAAGUCAGUUGUGAAAGUUUGCGGCUCAACCGUAAAAUUGCAGUUGAAACUGGCAGUCUUGAGUACAGUAGAGGUGGGCGGAAUUCGUGGUGUAGCGGUGAAAUGCUUAGAUAUCACGAAGAACUCCGAUUGCGAAGGCAGUUCACUGGACUGCAACUGACACUGAGGCUCGAAAGUGUGGGUAUCAAACAGGAUUAGAUACCCUGGUAA
rnacentral:rRNA from 1 species